GCCGGCGAUGACCAAUCUGGUGGGUCGCCUACUUCAGAGGUAGGUGUCUGAAAAGACAUCGGGGUUCAAAUCCCCGCGCCGGCG
rnacentral:tRNA from 1 species